rnacentral:rRNA from 1 species
AUUGAACGCUGGCGGCAUGCUUUACACAUGCAAGUCGAACGGCAGCACGGGGGCAACCCUGGUGGCGAGUGGCGAACGGGUGAGUAACACAUCGGAACGUGUCCAGUUGUGGGGGAUAACCCAUCGAAAGGUGGGCUAAUACCGCAUGAUCUGGCAACAGCAAAGCGGGGGACUGGUAACGGCCUCGCGCGAUUGGAGCGGCCGAUGUCCGAUUAGCUAGUUGGUGGGGAAAGGCCUACCAAGGCUUCGAUCCGGUAGCUGGUCUGAGAGGAUGAUCAGCCACACUGGGACUGAGACACGGCCCAGACUCCUACGGGAGGCAGCAGUGGGAAUUUGGACAAUGGGGGCAACCCUGAUCCAGCCAUGCCGCGUGAGUGAAGAA